rfam:Sphingopyxis indica strain DS15 genome assembly, contig: Ga0138993_101
UAUGCGGGCCGGGCCCCUCUGGCGUCGGCGGAAGUGUCUUCCGCCACGUGAUGUCGGACCGCAUCG